AGAAUUGAAGGCCUUCCUCUUACUGAGCUGCCUUCAGUUGGAAUCAGCUGUGUCCCUUUUACCUCUUAUUGAUGCAUGAGUUCCAUGUGGGAGCAUAAAAUGUCUUUAAGAUAGAGGUUUGGCCAUUUGUCUUCUUUUCUCUCUCUUAAAAGCAACAGUGACUGCUUAGACAGUGGGCUGGUCCUUGUGUUGAAUUAUUUGGUGAGUAUGCCUGUCCUGUUUGGCACAAGUCUGCCCAUGCAAAGCAGGUGGACAUAGCACUGAAUGAAACAUGCAGAAUCAUCACGGGAUGCCUUAAACCUACACCUGUUGAUAAACUCUACAAGUUAGCUGGCAUUGCCCCUCCUGACGUGCGACGGGAAGUUGCUGCUAACGGUGAGAGAAAAAAGGUUGAACAUUGUGAAAGCCACCCACUGCAUGACUAUCAGCCUCCUCCCAGUAGACUCAAAUCAAGGAAGGGCUUCAUGAGAACCACCACUCCUCUUGAUGUUCCUCCAGCAACAGCAAGGGUGUCCCUCUGGGCAGCUAAACCUGGCAAUCCC
rnacentral:lncRNA from 11 species